rnacentral:rRNA from 1 species
UAGCGAAGGGGGCUAGCGUUGCUCGGAAUCACUGGGCGUAAAGGGUGCGUAGGCGGGUCUUUAAGUCAGGGGUGAAUCCUGGAGCUCAACUCCAGAACUGCCUUUGAUACUGAAGAUCUUGAGUUCGGGAGAGGUGAGUGGAACUGCGAGUGUAGAGGUGAAAUUCGUAGAUAUUCGCAAGAACACCAGUGGCGAAGGCGGCUCACUGGCCCGGUACUGACGCUGAGGUGCGAAAGCGUGGGGAGCAAACAGG